CACGAAGCUCCUGGUUUUCCUUUGAAACAACUUACAGAUUAAAAGAACUAAGAGGAAGUAGACAACGAGGGUACACUUUCUCAGCAGAACAUGAAAUAGAGAUAAUAUUCUUGAACAGGAAGCAAGCGGCGAGCUACAGAGCGUGUAACAGGGUCGGGAGCGGCACCAUCCUCGACACAGCACGGAGGCUCUCGACAAACCAGUGAUAUAUGAGACACAGUCCAAGACAUUCAUUUCCUGCACGCUGAGGAGGUGAGCGUACAUGGCUGUCAGAGCUCUGGUUCCACCACCCGUUGUCAUGAUUGCUACCACAGAAUAGAGAAGUCAGCCACAGAGAAAAGAACUCAGCUAUAGUUUGUACAUGAAACUACAAGGUUUCCAGGAAAAUGUGACCACCAAUGCUAUAUUUGGACACUCAUCUGUGCAGAAAGCAGAGAAUAAUUAUGUCUCAGAGACCUCAUCAUCCUGCAAGUCCUCUUCCAGGUGGAGAAUGUCC